GGUGCGGCUAACCAGGGACAGCUCUUUGAGGCUCUCGACAUUUCGACACUCUGGAAGCUGCCCGCCAUAUUGGUUUGCGAGAACAACCAUUAUGGUAUGGGAACAGCGGAAUGGAGGGCAGCGAAGAGUCCUGCUUACUACAAGUGUGGCGACUAUGUGCCUGGAUUGAAGGUUGAUGGAAUGGAUGUUCUUGCUGUGAAGCAAGCGUGCAAAUUUGCAAAAGAUCAUGCUGUUGCAAAUGGCCCAAUUGUGAGUACUAUGAAUCUUUUCUGACUUCUGUUAUUGGAUGCACCCCAUGUAGGAGAAGUACUAUUAAGGCUUGUUUCGAAGCAAGGGAAAGA